CUACGGGACGCUCCAGUGGGGAAUAUUGCACAAUGGGCGAAAGCCUGAUGCAGCCAUGCCGCGUGUGUGAAGAAGGCCUUCGGGUUGUAAAGCACUUUCAGUAGGGAGGAAAGGGUGUACGUUAAUACCGUGCAUCUGUGACGUUACCUACAGAAGAAGCACCGGCUAACUCCGUGCCAGCAGCCGCGGUAAUACGGAGGGUGCGAGCGUUAAUCGGAAUUACUGGGCGCAAAGCGUGUGUAGGCGGUUAUUUAAGCGAGAUGUGAAAUCCCGGGGCUCAACCUCGGAACUGCAUUUCGAACUGGAUAACUAGAGUUUUGUAGAGGGUGGUGGAAUUUCCAGUGUAGCGGUGAAAUGCGUAGAGAUUGGAAGGAACAUCAGUGGCGAAGGCGGCCACCUGGACAAAAACUGACGCUGAGACACGAAAGCGUGGGGAGCAAACAGGAUUAGAUACCCGUGUAGUC
rnacentral:rRNA from 1 species